AACGAACGCUGGCGGCAUGCCUAACACAUGCAAGUCGAACGAGACCUUCGGGUCUAGUGGCGCACGGGCGCGUAACGCGUGGGAACCUGCCCUUAGGUUCGGAAUAACUCCCCGAAAGGGGUGCUAAUACCGGAUAAUGUCUUCGGACCAAAGAUUUAUCGCCUUUGGAUGGGCCCGCGUUGGAUUAGCUAGUUGGUAGGGUAAAAGCCUACCAAGGCGACGAUCCAUAGCUGGUCUGAGAGGAUGAUCAGCCACACUGGGACUGAGACACGGCCCAGACUCCUACGGGAGGCAGCAGUGGGGAAUAUUGGACAAUGGGCGAAAGCCUGAUCCAGCAAUGCCGCGUGAGUGAUGAAGGCCUUAGGGUUGUAAAGCUCUUUUACCCGGGAUGAUAAUGACAGUACCGGGAGAAUAAGCGCCGGCUAACUCCGUG
rnacentral:rRNA from 1 species